UUUUAGCCCUGAUGGGAGCGGCAUCCUUUUUGGGGUGCCUGAGGCUCUCGAAGGCUCCUCAAAAAGAUAUAGCGGACAGCAGGAAUAUGG
rnacentral:sRNA from 1 species